CCCAGAGAACCUGUGUCUACUUCUGAGCGCUGGGAAUGAAGCAGAUCUCGCAAAAGGGGAGGAAGGCCUUCACCGCUGAACCCGAGCUUUGCCAUUUCGAAGUGCUGAGUCACCUCGUCCUCUCAGGGUCAGACACUUUCACGCAGGAAACGUCCUGCAGAGCACCGCAGCGGGAGCACCGAGCUGACCUGGAAGGAGAGAACAAGGGCCUUCCUGAGGCAGGACAAGGACCCAGAACUACCCAGAAUGCAGCAGGGCGGCCCCGCACGACUGAGCUCUGAUCCUAACCUGCAAAGUGAAGUUUCAAUUUCCACUUCCUGAGAAGAUGUGGAAACUCAGAGAGGAUGCCACUGUUUUGAACUAUUUUGAAGGCACAGCCACCAGAGCUUUAGGUCAGAAGAGGUCCUUGGAACUGGAAUUACAGGUGGCUGUGAGCCUCCAGGUAGGUGCUGAGAAUCAAGCAGCCUGGCUCCUCUGUAGGAGCUCUAAGGAAUGCUCUUACCUGCUGAGCCAUCUGUCCAGCCCUGAUUGUCCUGGCUGUUAAUUGAGGAAGGAAGACUUACUCUGAGGGAGGGCUGAGCCAGUCCCCAGGCUGCUCCCUGAAUGGUAUGUAGAGGAGGGGAGCCAGCUAAGCACUGACCAGCGAGGGUGUGCACAUUUUCUUUGGUCUUUGUUUUGAAUGUGGUGUGGCUGGCUGCUUCAAUUCCUGACUUGAUUUCCUCAAAAGGAUAGGCUGUAACCCAGAAUGGUAAACUGCCUU
rnacentral:lncRNA from 1 species